rnacentral:rRNA from 1 species
UACGAAGGGGGCUAGCGUUGCUCGGAAUCACUGGGCGUAAAGCGCACGUAGGCGGAUUGCUAAGUCAGGGGUGAAAUCCUGGAGCUCAACUCCAGAACUGCCUUUGAUACUGGCGACCUUGAGUCCGGGAGAGGUGAGUGGAACUGCGAGUGUAGAGGUGAAAUUCGUAGGUAUUCGCAAGAACACCAGUGGCGAAGGCGGCUCACUGGCCCGGUACUGACGCUGAGGUGCGAAAGCGUGGGGAGCAAACAGG